CCUACGGGAGGCAGCAGUGGGGAAUUUUGCGCAAUGCUCGUAAGAGUGACGCAGCGACGCCGCGUGAAUGACGAAGGCCUUCGGGUCGUAAAGUUCUUUCGACAGGGAAGAAAAUGCCUAUAAGUAACUGUGUAUGUAUUGACGGUACCUGUAUAAGCAGCCCCGGCUAACUCCGUGCCAGCAGCCGCGGUAAUACGGAGGGGGCGAGCGUUGUUCGGAGGGACUGGGCGUAAAGAGCACGUAGGCGGUGUUGUACGUCAUUAGUCAAAGACUAGAGCUCAACUUUAGUAAGGCUAGUGAUACUAUAAUACUAGAGUAUCAGAGAGGAUUGCAGAAUUCCUGGUGUAGCGGUGAAAUGCGUAGAUAUCAGGAGGAAUACCGUUAGCGAAGGCGGCAAUCUGGCUGGAAACUGACGCUGAGGUGCGAAAGCGUGGGUAGCAAACAGGAUUAGAUACCCCAGUAGUC
rnacentral:rRNA from 1 species